rnacentral:misc_RNA from 1 species
GAAAUGCGAUAACUAAUGUGAAUUGCAGAAUUCAGUGAAUCAUCGAGUCUUUGAACGCACAUUGCGCCCCCUGGUAUUCCGGGGGGCAUGCCUGUCCGAGCGUCAUUGCUGCCCUCAAGCACGGCUUGUGUGUUGGGCCUCCGUCCCUUUCGAGGGACGGGCCCGAAAGGCAGCGGCGGCACCGGUCCGGUCCUCGAACGUAUGGGGCUUUGUCACUCGUUUUGUAGGAUUGGCCGGCGCUUGCCGACACCAUCAAUCUUUUUCCAGGUUGACCUCGGAUCAGGUAGGGAUACCCGCUGAACUUAA